GUGAUUCUAGUUUCAUGUCACUAGCACAGCAGGCAUUGACUAUGCAGAUAUUAAGAAAUACUUAAUAUAAAAUGUAGUCAGUAUGUGAAGUGUGAUCAGAAUCAGAAGAAAAUAGUAAAUGUUGAGCCAGAUUUAGGAAGACACAGUAUAAACAGUGGACCAUAAAUGGCUACAGUCCAUAUCAAAUAAAGUUAGUAGGGAUGUGCUUUGGAGAGAAUGAAGUGAAUUCAGUAUGAUGGAGCACAGACUAUAUGGUCAAAUCAGCCUAGAUUUAAACCGGGCUCCUAUUCCCUAUCAUCUGCAUUAUCUUGGGUUUGUGAGUCAACUUUAUGGGUCUAUUGGGAGCAGCAGUUCUUCCUGGCCCCUGGAUGUACUGAUUCCGGUGCAGUCCUCUGACCAUAUUGGGAAGGAUAUGUAAAAUGAUACGAGUUUCAGGGAAUAAGAAUGGGGGUGAGAGGAAUCACUGAGGAUGCCCAAGGACAAAGCAGCCGGAACAAGUUUAUAGCUCAGCAGUCCCAAGAUGGCCGAAUAGGAACAGCUCCAGUCUACAGCUCCCAGCGUGAGUGAUGCAGAAGAUGGGUGACUUCUGCAUUUCCAACCAAGGUACCGGGUUUAUCUCACUGGGGCUUGUUGGACAGUGGGUGCAAUCCACGAAGUGUGAGCCAAAGCAGGGCGGGGCAUCACCUCACCCAGGAAGUGCAAGAGGUCGGGGAAUUCCCUUUCCUAGCUGAGGGAAGCCAUGACAGAUGGUACCUGGAAAAUCGGGACACUCCCAUCCUGAUACUGCACUUUUCCAAAGGUCUUAGCAAAUGGCACACCAGGAGAUUAUAUCCCACGCCUGGCUCAGAGGGUCCCACGCCCACGGAGCCUCGCUCACUGCUAGCACAGCAGUCUGAGACUGAACUGCAAGGUGGCAAUGAGGCUGGGGGAGGGGGGUCCACCAUUGCUGACGUUUGAGUAGGUAAACAAAACACUCCAGCCUGGGCGACGGACUGAGACUCUGUCUCAAAAAAAAAAAAAAGAAGACAUUUAUGCAGCCAACAGACACAUGAAAAAAUGCUCAUCGUCACUGGCCAUCAGUACUGGAGAGGAUGUGGAGAAAUAGGAACACUUUUACACUGUUGGUGGGACUGUAAACUAGUUCAACCAUUGUGGAAGACAGUGUGGCGAUUCCUCAAGGAUCUAGAACUAGAAAUACCAUUUGACCCAGCCAUCUCAUUACUGGGUAUAUACCCAAAGGAGUAUAAAUCAUGCUGCUAUAAAGACACAUGUACAUGUAUGUUUAUUGUGGCAUUAUUCACAAUUGCAAAGACUUGGAACCAACCCAAAUGUCCAUCAAUGAUAGACUGGAUUAAGAAAAUGUGGCACAUAUACACCAUGGAAUACUGUGCAGCCAUAAAAAAGGAUGAGUUCAUGCCCUUUGUAGGGACACAGAUGAAGCUGGAAACCAUUCUGAGCAAACUAUCGCAAGGACAAAAAACCAAACACUGCAUGUUCUCACUCAUAGGUGGGAAUUGAACAAUGAGAACACUUGGACACAGGGUGGGGAACAUCACACACCGGGGCCUGUUGUGGGGUGGGGGGAGGGGGGAAGGAUAGCAUUAGGAGAUAUACCUAAUGUAAAUGACGAGUUAAUGGGUGCAGCACACCAACAAGGCACAUGUACACAUAUGUAACAGCUGCACGUUGUGCACGUGUACCCUAGAACUUAAAGUAUAAUUAAAAAAAUGAAAUAAAAUGGCAAAUAAAGAAUUUGCUCAUACAGCUUCUGAAAACAAAAUAAAGUUUAUAGCUCAAAAAAAGAUUCUGUUCUUUUGAAACUUCAUUAAGAAUGGAAGAAGAGACAUUAAAAUCUGACAAGACUUUAUUUUCUUAAUUGAGCUUUUCAAAUCCAGGACCUGCAAGUUACUGUGAGCUGUCAAUUACUUACUUAACUGUGAAUAAACUUUACAGUUAAAUGUCACAAAUGGACAAAAUGUAGGCAACUUGAAAACACAAUCCAGUUCUCCUGGCUUUAUCUUAUAUUUGGAUCCUUUCACCUUUUCAAAGUCACUCAUCAGGAGAUUGGCAAAGAGCCCUGUCAUCUCAAAUUCCCAGUGUUUACUUAUAAACACAGGAAGUUCAAAUUUCUUAGAAUUAAGCCUAAUGCAGAACCUGUCUUCCGUGGAAUGAAUUCUGCAAGUUUGUAAAGAACCUACAUGAAAAAUACCUGAAAGAACAUGUACACUGAUGAAUAUCUUACUCAUUCAGAUCCCACUAAGAACCCAGAGUCAUUCAGACAUUAUGUGUAAAAUACAUCUUUUUAUCUGCCGGUGAAGAAAAAUCUGCUAAACAAAUUAAUACCGUGCAG
rnacentral:lncRNA from 1 species